GGCGGCAUAGCGCAAGCGGACAAAAGCGCAAGAUUUUAAGAAAAUACGCAGAUAGAAGUAGCCUUUUGCUGGUUCGAAUCCAGCUGCCGCCUACA
rnacentral:tRNA from 2 species